rnacentral:rRNA from 1 species
ACGCUCGACACCUACUGGAGGCAGCAGUGGGGAAUAUUGCACAAUGGGGGAAACCCUGAUGCAGCGACGCCGCGUGAGCGAAGAGGUAUUUCGGUAUGUAAAGCUCUAUCAGCAGGGAAGAAGAAAGACGGUACCUGACUAAGAAGCCCCGGCUAACUACGUGUCAGCAGCCGCGGUAAUCUGAGCGGGCUGGCAAGGC